rnacentral:rRNA from 1 species
GACGAACGCUGGCGGCGUGCUUAACACAUGCAAGUCGAACGGAAAGGCCCUGCUUGCAGGGUACUCGAGUGGCGAACGGGUGAGUAACACGUGGGUGAUCUGCCCUGCACUUCGGGAUAAGCCUGGGAAACUGGGUCUAAUACCGGAUAGGAGCCAUUUUUAGUGUGAUGGUUGGAAAGUUUUUUCGGUGUAGGAUGAGCUCGCGGCCUAUCUGCUUGUUGGUGGGGUAAUGGCCUACCAAGGCGGCGACGGGUAGCCGGCCUGAGAGGGUGGACGGCCACAUUGGGACUGAGAUACGGCCCAGACUCCGACGGGAGGGAGCAGUGGGGAAUAUUGCACAAUGGGCGCAAGCCUGAUGCAGCGACGCCGCGUGGGGGAUGACGGCCUUCGGGUUGUAAACUCCUUUCGCUAGGGACGAAGCUUUUUGUGACGGUACCUAGAUAAGAAGCACCGGCUAACUACGUG